UGUGGAGCUUUCAGACCAAUUACAAACUCCAACGCUAUAUGCACAGUGAACAGGCAGUUUCCAUCAGUCUGCAGCAUUCCAAACAACGAGAGCACACACCGCCUAAAACCUGUCAAACAAGAGCCUCUUUAGGGCGGCUCUCUCCGCGCUGUCAUAGCUGUGGCUGUGAAAUGCUGUGAUUAUCACUCGAGGGGACGCCGCGUGCAGAAAUGACGGCUUCUGAAAGCAGAGUGGCAGUCAAGAAAUUAGGAAUGUUUUCUGAACACUUUCACCUGGGCAUGGAGGUUAGCCACUGAAGUAUUACCUGGCGAUUCAGCCUCUGAAGAUUUCCAGUUCACCUUUCCCAGACUCAUAACACUCAUAAAGCGUGACAGAUCUCUGUUUCCACGGGGGUUUCCAUCCCUGGCUUCACUGGAAGGAGAGCGCAGUCCGCCCUCAAACGAACACCAUCCCAGAGCGGAGAUCGCCUACCAGAUCAGUACCCUGGCCUCUGCCAACUCCCCUCCUGGUUUGCUCCCUCCCAGAAAAUCAUGGCUCGGACGUCCGAACCCCUCCUGGAUCAAGAACCAUCUAAGACCCCAUUUCCAAUAAACUGUCAAAUGAUCACUGCUGUCUCUAGGAACAUUUUUCUUUUGGGUCAGAAAACUGCCUAACGCUGCGAGAAAUACAGGCAAACGCUGGAAGGAAUUCUGACAGAAAAUUGCAAAAGGUUCACCUAAUGGCAGGGCAAUGACCCUAAACAUACGGCCGGAGGUACAAAGGAGGGGUUUAGUUCAAAAUGUAAUUUUGUUUUACAAACGGUACAAAACGUUCAGCCUCUGGAAGGGCAAAACUGUUACGUAAAAAAAAGUUGCAGUUGGAAUUGCAGAAAAAAGCAGCUCGACAAAGCAAUGACGUAGGGCGGCUGAAAACAGAUUUACACCAUGCUUUUUCAUAUUAUUAUUUGUAAAACAAAAAAAAGAAGAAAUUGACACACCAUGUAACAUUUUCCUCUGUCUUCACAAUGAUGCACUAUUUUGUGUAGGUCUGCUAAAUAAAAUCCCAAUAACAUGAGGAAACAUU